AUAACAUUCGGACCGUCGGUCUACCGAGCAACUCCACCCGCUCGGUGGAAGAUCUUCACUAUUCCGU
rnacentral:pre_miRNA from 1 species